rnacentral:misc_RNA from 1 species
UUUCCGUAGGUGAACCUGCGGAAGGAUCACUAGUGAUUAAACGGGAAGCGUCUUAACUGACCUUCUCACCCUUCACAUCCACAUACACCCUGUGAACUGUUUGGCUUCAACUCUCGAGUUGGGCUCUCCUAUCGAUAGAUUAGCAAUAGUCUAGCGAGAAGAGGGUUCGUCUCGAGAGCGGGAGUCAUCAUUUUUAUACAUACACAAAGUCUAAUGAAUGUAAACGUUUUAUAUAAACAAAAUAAAACUUUCAACAACGGAUCUCUUGGUUCUC